AAGGACACACAGAUGCUCCAGAAAUGAGCCCAGAGAGGUCAAGUAAUCGGCCAGGGGCCACACAGGGAAUGCCAGAAAGAUUCUGAAAGAACCCAAGUCAUAUCCUGUCCUUCCUCCACCUACAACCUUCCAUGGCUCUCUACUCACUCAGGAAAAAUAUAAGCUUCACCGUGGCCCAGGCCCUGCCCAGCUCUCCUGUCUCACCACCACUGUCCACCACCUGCCUCCUCAGAUCUGGGCUCCUGCCAGAUGGGGAAAUGAGACAGGGAAGUGAAGCUGAUUAAGCAAUGGAACUUGGUAUGAAGACCAUGUCUAACUUUAAAGGCUGUCCUUGUGCAAAGAAGAGAGACAUAGAAAACUGAUGAUAUCAUUCAAGUACCUGGAUCCAGCUAUGCCUGAAGCAAACCCACCCC